rnacentral:rRNA from 1 species
GAUGAACGCUGGCGGCGUGCCUAAUACAUGCAAGUCGAGCGAACAGACGAGGAGCUUGCUCCUCUGACGUUAGCGGCGGACGGGUGAGUAACACGUGGAUAACCUACCUAUAAGACUGGGAUAACUUCGGGAAACCGGAGCUAAUACCGGAUAAUAUAUUGAACCGCAUGGUUCAAUAGUGAAAGACGGUUUUGCUGUCACUUAUAGAUGGAUCCGCGCCGCAUUAGCUAGUUGGUAAGGUAACGGCUUACCAAGGCAACGAUGCGUAGCCGACCUGAGAGGGUGAUCGGCCACACUGGAACUGAGGCACGGUUCAGACUCCUACGGGAGGCAGCAGUAGGGAAUCUUCCGCAAUGGGCGAAAGCCUGACGGAGCAACGCCGCGUGAGUGAUGAAGGUCUUCGGAUCGUAAAACUCUGUUAUUAGGGAAGAACAAAUGUGUAAGUAACUAUGCACGUCUUGACGGUACCUAAUCAGAAAGCCACGGCUAACUACGUG